rnacentral:rRNA from 1 species
GAUGAACGCUGGCGGCGUGCUUAACACAUGCAAGUCGAACGAUGAAGCCCAGCUUGUUGGGUGGAUUAGUGGCGAACGGGUGAGUAACACGCGAGUAACCUGCCCUUAACUCUGGGAUAAGCCUGGGAAACUGGGUCUAUUAUCGGAUAGGAGCGUCCACCCCAUGGUGGGUGUUGGAGAGAUUUAUCGGUUUUGGAUGGACUCGCGGCGUAUCAGCUUGUUGGUGAGGUAUUGGCUCACCAAGGCGACGACGGGUAGCCGGCCUGGGAGGGUGACCGGCCACACUGGGACUGAGACACGGCACAGACUCCUACGGGAGGCAGCAGUGGGGAAUAUUGCACAAUGGGCGGAAGCCUGAUGCAGCGACGCCGCGUGAGGGAUGACGGCCUUCGGGUUGUAAACCGCUUUCGGUAGGGAAGAAGCGAAAGUGACGGUACCUGCAGAAGAAGCACCGGCUAACUACGUG